rnacentral:rRNA from 1 species
AGAACGAACGCUGGCGGCAUGCCUAACACAUGCAAGUCGAACGAGACCUUCGGGUCUAGUGGCGCACGGGUGCGUAACGCGUGGGAAUCUGCCCCUGGGUUCGGGAUAACAGUUGGAAACGACUGCUAAUACCGGAUGAUGUCUUCGGACCAAAGAUUUAUCGCCCAAGGAUGAGCCCGCGUAGGAUUAGCUUGUUGGUGAGGUAAGAGCUCACCAAGGCGACGAUCCUUAGCUGUCUGAGAGGAUGAUCAGCCACACUGGGACUGAGACACGGCCCAGACCUCCGUACGGGAGGCAGCAGGUCGGGAAUAUGGAACAAGUGGAACGAAAGCCUGAUCCAAGACAAGUCGACCGCGUGGAGUGAUGAAGGUCCGUUAAGGGUUGGUAAAACGUCGUUACCGUUUACCCGGGAGU